rnacentral:rRNA from 1 species
AUUGAACGCUGGCGGCAGGCCUAACACAUGCAAGUCGAGCUAGCGGAGGACGGGUGAGUAAUGUCUGGGGACUUCCCCUUAGAGGGGGAUAACAACUCGUAACGGUAGCUAAUACCGCAUACUAUCGGAUAACCCCCAUGGGAUUAGCUAGUAGGUGAGGUAAUGGCUCACCUAGGCGACGAUCCCUAGCUGGUCUGCGAGGAUGAUCAGCCACACUGGGACUGAGACACGGCCCAGACGCCUACGGAGGCAGCAGUGGGGAAUUUUGGACAAUGGGGGAAACCCUGAUGCAGCCAUCCCGCGUGUAUGAUGAAGGCCUUCGGGUUGUAAAGUACUUUUAGCAGAGAAGCGGUAUCUGCAGAAUAAGCACCGGCUAACUACGUGCCAGCCGCCGCGGUAAUAC